CAAAGGGCAAGAAGUCUUUGGGAAGAAAUGGAGCAAUUGGAGUGUGCAACCUACAGAAAGACAGGUAUUAGUUAGAAGAAAAUUGGUAAAGGAAAAAAAAUGAGAAAACAAUUCAAAUCUACAUUUGAGUGAGCCAAGCAAGAGGAAGGAGAGAAUUAAAGAUAAGAACAAAAACCACUAAAGGACAAAUGAUAUGGGAGAAUUCUGAGUAAAGAGAAUACAAGCAAUAAGAGUAAUGCGGAGCCCUCAAAACCGUCUGAAAAUACAUAAUCUCUCAGGGCAAGACAAUUACAUUACAAAAUCAGCCAUUGGUCAGCAGGUUGUAAAACAAAAGCUGAUCUUGGUUGGGUGAUUUCUACCAGCAAUGUGAACCAGACUGCAAC